rnacentral:rRNA from 1 species
AGCAGCCGCGGUAAUUCCAGCUCCAAUAGCGUAUAUUAAAGUUGUUGCAGUUAAAAAGCUCGUAGUUGAAUUUCGGGAUCAAAGGAUCGGUCAUGCCUUGGUAUGUACUGGUUUUAUUGGUUCUCACCUUCUAAAGAACCAUAAUGUCAUUCAUUUGAUGUUAUGGGGAAUUAGGACUGUUACCUUGAAAAAAUUAGAGUGUUUAAAGCAGGCUUACGCUUGAAUACAUUAGCAUGGAAUAAUGAAAUAGGACAUCAGAUUCUAUUUUGUUGGUUUCUAGGAUCGAUGUAAUGAUUAAUAGGGAUAGUUGGGGGCAUUAGUAUUCAAUUGUCAGAGGUGAAAUUCUUGGAUUUAUUGAAGACUAACUACUGCGAAAGCAUUUGCCAAGGAUGUUUUCAUUAAUCAAGAACGAAGGUUAGGGGAUCGAAGACGAUCAGAUACCGUCGUAGUCUUAACCAUAAACUAUGCCGACUAGGGAUCGGAUGAUGUUAAUUUUUUUAAUGACUCAUUCGGCGCCUUA